AACAGCCGAAUUCUUCGGUUCUUAUGUCCAACGUUUGACUAUCCGUCUUAUAUAAAUUUUAUGAUUAGUAUUUUUAUUAUUAUUAGAAGAUAAAAUAUGAAUAAUACUUUAUACAUGACUUAUUUUUUUAAUUUUUUUAAAUAAGAUGAACGGUCAAACGUUAGACUCGGAAACCCAAGGAUUAAGUUUUU
rfam:Oryza meridionalis cultivar OR44 (W2112) chromosome 6, whole genome shotgun sequence.